rnacentral:lncRNA from 1 species
UUUUGACUGAAAAACAUCCAUUUAUUAAUGAUGCAGAAAUGCAAAUUUAAACAUGAGGUGGCCCUUACAAUGGACCAUUACGUGUCGGGCAACACAGAACACCGCUUUUUGACUGAAAAACAUCCAUUUAUUAAUGAUGCAGAAAUGCAAAUUUAAACAUGAGGUGGCCCUUACAAUGGACCAUUACGUGUCGGGCAACACGUAUGGCUUUCAUGCAAAUAAGCUGAAAACAAGAAAUAAUACUCUUCCAGACGAGUAACAGUGUUGAUCUUUUAGGCCUUCCAGCUCCCUGGCACGCACGAUUUUAUCCACUGAUCAAUUCCCCAGUCACUGUUAGUUUCUUU